GCUCAUAGCCAGCAGGUGUGUAGACUGCAGGCUGUUCCCACACUCAAGACUAUGGGGCUGUAUGUGCUCUCUCCAUAUGGCUGAGCCUGUAUAGCCUACUUGUGGCUCUGGCAGAAAAUCUGAAAAGAGAUACUGACUGUCAGCUGGUGGAGAGGCAGAGCACUGAAUGCUGUUUCUUUUGUACUGCAGCUGGUGAUGGCCUCCAGUCACAGAGGCAGAAUACUCCCAGCGCUCCAUCAGUGGGUGGUUGGCUUCCCGGCUGUGGUACGACUGUCUGUCCUCUUCGUUUUCUUCUCGGAGUUGUAUUCUCUCAGUUUUAGUAAAUGUGCUUAAUAAAUAGCCGGUAUGGCAGAUAACCCACA